GACGUAGGGCGCGAGCGUUGUCCGGAUUUAUUGGGCGUAAAGAGCUCGUAGGCGGUUCGGUAAGUCGGGUGUGAAACCUCCAGGCUCAACCUGGAGACGCCACCCGAUACUGCUGUGACUAGAGUCCGGUAGGGGAGCGUGGAAUUCCUGGUGUAGCGGUGAAAUGCGCAGAUAUCAGGAGGAACACCAGCGGCGGAAGGCGGGCGCUCUGGGCCGGAACUGACGCUGAGGAGCGAAAGCGUGGGGAGCAAACAGG
rnacentral:rRNA from 1 species